AUCAACCGCGGCCCAAAUCAUCCUCUGAGUAGUACGCACUCUCAACUUAUUUGACGAUCUUGAACCACCUGCGCGCGCACGAAUGGCGAACUACUACAUGAAGCCGGCCUUCCAGUUUCUGGUGCUUUUCCUGGUUCUUCUCGGAUGCUUUGCGUCUCGCGCUCAGAGUCAAGGGCAUGGACCGGACAUAUUCUCAUGCGAGAGGCAGUUGAUGCGGCCAUGCGACUUGUGUUACUGCUGCUUGUAUGGCAACAAUAAGGGAGUGUGCUAUGCAACUGAUGUGGACUGCAGGCUGGCUUGCCCUCCGCCUAAAUUCACCCUACCAUGAACCUGAACAUUUUUUUUGUAAUGUCUCUCAUGUAGUACGUCUGUACUUCUUACCCCAUACUCUGAAGAAUAAUUGGCAGAAUCAACUGAUGUCA